GUGUCAGUGGAGCAUAGAGGGAAUGAGCAGGGCUCAUAACCAAGAAGGUUGCUGGUUCGAUUCCUGGCUGGGGCA